UGCGCAGGCGGACUAAUAAGUCAGUGGUGAAAUCUUUCGGCUUAACCGGGAAACUGCCAUAGAUACUGUUAGUCUUGAGUUCGGUUGAGGUAGGCGGAAUGUGUAAUGUAGCGGUGAAAUGCUUAGAUAUUACACAGAACACCAAUUGCGUAGGCAGCUUACUAGACCGACACUGACGCUGAGGCACGAAAGCGUGGGGAGCGAACAGGAUUAGAUACCCUGGUAGUCC
rnacentral:rRNA from 1 species